rnacentral:lncRNA from 1 species
GGCCCUGCUCUGCAGCCCCCCAGCCUGGCUGUGCGGCCCCCACCUGCUCCUGCUACUCGGGUGCUGCCUUCACCUGCCAGGCCCUUCCCCGCUAGCUUGGGGCGAGCAGAGGUAAGGUACAGGAACUGAGGGGCUAGGGAGCGCCAAGACUUGGGAGUAGGGAUUCUGUAUUUCAAGGUAGGCAGCUCAUGAUUUUUUUCCCCUCAGCUGCAUCCAGUGGAACUAAAGCCGUUCCAGGAUUAUCAAAAACUGAGCAGCAACCUUGGGGGACCUGGAUCAUCACGGACUCCCCCAACUGGAAGGUCCUUCUCUGGCCUCAAUUCCCGUCUCAAGGCCACGCCUUCCACCUACAGUGGAGUCUUCCGCACCCAGCGCGUCGACCUUUACCAGCAGGCCUCCCCACCAGAUGCCCUGCGCUGGAUACCUAAGCCUUGGGAGCGGACAGGGCCGCCACCUCGAGAAGGGCCCUCCCGACGGGCAGAGGAGCCUGGGUCCCGAGGGGACAAGGAGCCUGGGUUGCCCCCACCCCGCUGAGGGAGUUCCUCUUGCCCCCUACCCCCGGGGCUUGUAUAUAGAUUAUAAAUAUAUAAGGGGGAAAGGGGUGGGCGGGGAGGGGUUGUGGGGCUGGGGCCUCACUUCCCCUCCUCCCCCUUCCCCUGGUCCCCUGUCCCUGGGGCUGUUUGUUAAAAAAGAGUAAUAAAAGGAUUUAAAAAAAAAAA